UUGCUUCCGAUGACGACGACCGGCGGAUGGGUGCGUAACGCGUAUGCAACUUGCCUCACAGAGGAGAAUAACCCGGAGAAAUCCGGACUAAUGCUCCAUACACUCUUGAGUACGCCUGUACAUGAGAGGAAAGAUUUAUCGCUGUGAGAUAGGCAUGCGUCCUAUUAGGUAGUUGGUGAGGUAACGGCUCACCAAGCCGACGAUAGGUAGGGGUGCUGAGAGGCAGAUCCCCCACAUUGGGACUGAGACACGGCCCAAACUCC
rnacentral:rRNA from 1 species